rnacentral:rRNA from 1 species
CGUAUAUUAAAGUUGUUGCAGUUAAAAAGCUCGUAGUUGGAUUUGUGGCGUAUGGUUUGUUCCGGGCACUUGUUGUCUGAGUAACCUGCUGUUGCCAUCCUUGGGUGGAACCUGUGUGGCAUUAGGUUGUCGUGCAGGGGAUGCCCAUCAUUUACUGUGAAAAAAUUAGAGUGUUCAAAGCAGGCUUAUGCCGUUGAAUAUAUUAGCAUGGAAUAAUGAGAUAGGACUUUUUUACUAUUUUGUUGGUUUGCGUAAAGAGGUAAUGAUUAAUAGGGACAGUUGGGGG